GCCAGACGGCGGCGGGGUAGGAGAUGGCGGCUCAAGUAGGGAGACCAAUUUGGCCAACCAGAUAGCUUACAUAGAUAUUUGACCAUGCUGUUGGAUUGCACUUUUGGCCAAAAUGGUCAUUUUUUUAGUUUGGCCAGCCAUUUGGCUAUACUGUUGGAGAUGUUCUAAGAUACUAGAGGAAGGCCAUGUUUUUGGCUGGUUAAUUAACCGGCAUGAAAAACCUAGCAAAG
rnacentral:lncRNA from 1 species